rnacentral:lncRNA from 1 species
GUGAAUUUAGAGGUCGAAAGACGACCUUCCUCUUCACCAUCUUUCUGACCUCCGAUUGGAGUUCCUCUGGCCGCUUCACCGCAGGCUCUGGCUUCCUUUUCUCCAGGUACCUUUCUAUGGAGAGAUUAUGGACGUUUGCUGGUGAUGGUGGAUGGCGUGUGAGGCUCAGCUUAAGCACUUUUGGACUAACUCUGAAAACAAGAACCUGUACUGUCUGCGCAGGAAGUCUCUGUGAUGACCAGGUCUCACCGUCCAGAUCUGCAGGCAGCUCAGCCUUCAGAACCGUGACAGAGCCAAGUGAUUGUUGGCUCUAUAAACAUUUGUGAACCACGUGGGAUGAAUUGGAGGGAUACAGGCAUGGAUGACCUGUAAUGCUUGCCCAUAGGCUGUGCAGGGGCUGGCUGUGGUCAGGACUCAGCAGGUGAAGGUGCCUGCUGCCCAGCCUGAUGAUCCGAGUCCACUUUCUGGAAUCUCCAUGGUUGACUGCCUCCAAGAGUUCCUUCUACAGCUGGAAUGCAAGAUCCUGAGUGGAGUCCAGGUGGUGGGUCUGGGAGCCUCCAGAGAGUCAUGGCCAGUCAGGAUGGCUGCCGUCCCCGUGCUUCUGGAGAGGGGCUUAGCCAAGAGGAAGCCACCCCAAAGGCUGAUCUCCUGACAGUUGAGCCGGUCCCCUGACAUGUGGCAUGCUGCAGAGCCUCGGAGGAAAGAGACAGCAACACUGACGAAUGAGCCCAGUCUUCUGCAGGCGUUUUCUCAUCUGGGGGUCCCUCCUCUCAGAUGACUCUAGCUUGUGUGAAGUUGACACAAAUCUAGCCAGCGGACUGCAUGAAACUCGGAGACUGGUCUUGGUGAGGAAACCAAAGGAGCUGACUCAGAAAGUCAACGGGAACCAAGAUACCCUGCGCAGCAGAGAAUUCAAAGUAUAUCAGGCUCAUGCUGGAAGAAGGCUCGGCAGUUAAGAGCAUAUACUGAGUCCAGAGGACCUGAGUCCACUUGCCAGCAAUCACACCAGGUGUCUAUAACUCUAGGUCCAGGCCAGAGCUCUGCAGCACCUACAACCAUGUGCGCACACACUUACAUAUAACUAAGACUAAUAAAAAUGAACGUUUUUAAAAAAUGUCAUGCGUCAGAACCAUCAGUUCAGAACCUGUGUGCUUUAUUUAGAGUUUUUCCGGUCAGCUCGGCAUGAGCUGGAGUCAUCUGAGAAGAGGGAACUUCAGUUGAGAAACCACCUCCAUCAGAUGGGCCUGCUGGCA